rnacentral:rRNA from 1 species
GUGCCAGCAGCCGCGGUAAUACCGGCAGCCCGAGUGAUGGCCGAUCUUAUUGGGCCUAAAGCGUCCGUAGCUGGCCGCGCGAGUCCGUCGGGAAAUCCACCUGCCCAACAGGUGGGCGUCCGGCGGAAACUGUGUGGCUUGGAACCGGGAGGCUUAGAGGGUACGUCCGGGGUAGGAGUGAAAUCCCGUAAUCCCGCACGGACCACCGAUGGCGAAAGCACCUCGAGAAAACGGAUCCGACAGUGAGGGACGAAAGCCAGGGUCUCGAACCGGAUUAGAUACCCUGGUAGUCC